UAAAUUGUCCAAUUUGCCCUCA
rnacentral:snRNA from 1 species